UACGUAGGGUGCAAGCGUUAUCCGGAAUUAUUGGGCGUAAAGCGCACGUAGGCGGCUUAGCAAGUUGGAUGUGAAAGCCCUCGGCUUAACCAAGGAAGUGCAUCCAAAACUGCUGAGCUUGAGUAGUUGAAGAGGAUCGCGGAAUUCCCGGUGUAGAGGUGAAAUUCGUAGAUAUCUGGAGGAACACCGGUGGCGAAGGCGGCAUCCUGGACCGGCAUUGACGCUGAGGCGGCGAAAAGCUAGGGGAGCAAACGGG
rnacentral:rRNA from 1 species